rnacentral:rRNA from 1 species
AGCGAACGUUUGCGGCGGGCCUAACACAUGCAAGUCGAACGGGCAGUCCCUUCGGGGGCUGUCAGUGGCGCACGGGUGCGUAACACGUAGGUAAUCAACCCUCGGGUUCGGGAUAACACUUCGAAAGGGGUGCUAAUACCGGAUGCGACGAGCGUCUCCUCGGAGAUGCACGGGAAAGAUCCGCAAGGGUCGCCCGAGGACGAGCCUGCGGCCCAUCAGCUUGUUGGUGAGGUAAUGGCUCACCAAGGCUAAGACGGGUAGCUGGUCUGAGAGGAUGAUCAGUCACACUGGAACUGGAGACG